GAUGAACGCUGGCGGCGUGCUUAACACAUGCAAGUCGAACGAGGUCCAACCUUCGGGUGAAGACCUAGUGGCGAACGGGUGAGUAACACGUGGGCAAUCUGCCCUUCACUUCGGGAUAACCCCCGGAAACGGGAGCUAAUACCGGAUACUUCGAUCGGGCCGCAUGACCUGAUCGAGAAAGCUCCGGCGGUGGAGGAUGAGCCCGCGGCCCAUUAGCUUGUUGGCGGGGUAAUGGCCCACCAAGGCGACGAUGGGUAGCCGAGCUGAGAGGCUGAUCGGCCACACUGGGACUGAGACACGGCCCAGACUCCUACGGGAGGCAGCAGUGGGGAAUCUUGCGCAAUGGGCGAAAGCCUGACGCAGCAACGCCGCGUGCGGGAUGAAGGCUCUCGGGUCGUAAACCGCUUUCAGCAGGGAUGAAACUGACAGUACCUGCAGAAGAAGCCCCGGCUAAAUACGUGCCAGCAGCCGCCGUAAUAC
rnacentral:rRNA from 1 species